GACGAACGCUGGCGGCGUGCUCAACACAUGCAAGUCGAACGAUGAAGCCCAGCUUGCUGGGUGGAAGAGUGGCGAACGGGUGAGUAACACGUGAGUAACCUGCCCCGGACUCUGGGAUAAGCGCUGGAAACGGCGUCUAAUACUGGAUAUGACCCAUACUGGCAUCUGUUGUGGGUGGAAAGAUUUAUUGGUUCGGGAUGGGCUCGCGGCCUAUCAGCUAGAUGGUGAGGCAACGGCUCACCAUGGCGACGACGGGUAGCCGGCCUGAGAGGGUGACCGGCCACACUGGGACUGAGACACGGCCCAGACUCCUACGGGAGGCAGCAGUGGGGAAUAUUGCACAAUGGGCGCAAGCCUGAUGCAGCAACGCCGCGUGAGGGAUGACGGCCUUCGGGUUGUAAACCUCUUUUAGUAGGGAAGAAGCGUAAGUGACGGUACCUGCAGAAGAAGCACCGGCUAACUACGUGCCAGCCGCCGCGGUAACAC
rnacentral:rRNA from 1 species